GACGAAGGGGGCUAGCGUUGUUCGGAAUUACUGGGCGUAAAGCGCGUGUAGGCGGCAUGACAAGUCGGGUGUGAAAGCCCUGGGCUCAACCCAGGAAGUGCACUCGAUACUGUCGUGCUAGAGUCCCGGAGAGGGUGGUGGAACUCUCGGUGUAGAGGUGAAAUUCGUAGAUAUCGAGAAGAACACCGGUGGCGAAGGCGGCCACCUGGACGGUGACUGACGCUGAGACGCGAAAGCGUGGGGAGCAAACAGG
rnacentral:rRNA from 1 species